AGCCGGUGAUGUGAUCAAAAUAUUUGCUACUCUUGAUGGGUGCUCCCAUUUGAUGAUCCUGAACCACCAAGAUCUCUGAGGCC
rfam:Dichanthelium oligosanthes cultivar Kellogg 1175 unplaced genomic scaffold Do_version_2_scaffold2329, whole genome shotgun sequence.